rnacentral:rRNA from 1 species
CAGAGGCCACGAGCGUUAGGCGGAAUCACUGGGCUUAAAGCGUGUGUAGGCGGACCGUUAAGUGCCCGUGUGAAAUCCCCCGGCUCAACCGGGGAACGGCCGGGCAUACUGGCGGUCUUGGGCCAGCUAGGGGUCAUCGGAACAAACGGUGGAGCGGUGAAAUGCGUAGAUAUCGUUUGGAACGCCGACGGUGAAAACAGAUGACUGGGGCUGUGCCGACGCUGAGACACGAAAGCCAGGGGAGCAAACGGGAUUAGAUACCCCGGUAGUCCUGGCCCUAAACGAUGUCGACUAGAUCGUGGUCCCUCUGACGGGUUCACGGUCGAAGCAAAAGUGCUAAGUCGACCGCCUGGGAAGUACGGUCGCAGGGCUA